CCUACGGGAGGCAGCAGUGAGGAAUAUUGGUCAAUGGACGAGAGUCUGAACCAGCCAAGUAGCGUGAAGGAUGACUGCCCUAUGGGUUGUAAACUUCUUUUAUAUGGGAAUAAAAUGUUCCACGUGUGGGAUUUUGUAUGUACCAUAUGAAUAAGGAUCGUCUAACUCCGUGCCAGCCGCCGCGGUCAUACGGAGGAUCCGAGCGUUAUCCGGAUUUAUUGGGUUUAAAGGGAGCGUAGGUGGAUUGUUAAGUCAGUUGUGAAAGUUUGCGGCUCAACCGUAAAAUUGCAGUUGAAACUGGCAGUCUUGAGUAUAGUAGAGGUGGUCGGAAUUCGUGGUGUAGCGGUGAAAUGCUUAGAUAUCACGAAGAACUCCGAUUGCGAAGGCAGCUCACUGGACUGCAACUGACACUGAGGCUCGAAAGUGUGGGUAUCAAACAGGAUUAGAUACCCCAGUAGUC
rnacentral:rRNA from 1 species